UACAGAGGUGGCAAGCGUUGUUCGGAAUUACUGGGCGUAAAGGGCGCGUAGGCGGUUCGAUAAGUCCCGUGUGAAAUCCCUCGGCUCAACUGAGGAACUGCACGGGGAAACUGACGGGCUUGAGUUCGGGAGAGGGAAGCGGAAUUCCGGGUGUAGCGGUGAAAUGCGUAGAUAUCCGGAGGAACACCGGUGGCGAAGGCGGCUUCCUGGACCGACACUGGACGCUGAAGGCGCGAAAGCUAGGGGAGCAAAGCGGG
rnacentral:rRNA from 1 species